rnacentral:rRNA from 1 species
CAGCCGCCGCGGUAAUACCAGCGCCCCAAGUGGUGAUCGAUAUUAUUGGGUCUAAAACGUCCGUAGCCGGCCCGGUAAAUCUCCGGGUAAAUCGUCCAGCUCAACUGGUCGAAUUCUGGGGAGACUGCCAGCCUAGGGACCGGGAGAGGCCGAGGGUAUUCCCGGAGUAGGGGUGAAAUCCUAUAAUCCCGGGAGGACCACCUGUGGCGAAGGCGCUCGGCUGGAACGGGUCCGACGGUGAGGGACGAAGGCCAGGGGAGCAAACCGGAUUAGAUACCCGGGUAGUCCUGGCGGUAAACGAUGCGGACUUUGUGUCGGACAAGCUAUGAGCUUGUCCGGUGCCGGAGGGAAACCGUUAAGUCCGCCGCCUGGGGAGUACGGCCGCAAGGCUGAAACUUAAAGGAAUUGGCGGG